rnacentral:rRNA from 1 species
UACGUAGGGUGCAAGCGUUAAUCGGAAUUACUGGGCGUAAAGCGUGCGCAGGCGGUUCGUUAAGUUCGUUGUGAAAGCCCCGGGCUCAACCUGGGAACUGCAAUGGAAACUGGCGGGCUUGAAUGCGGCAGAGGGGGGUGGAAUUCCGCGUGUAGCAGUGAAAUGCGUAGAGAUGCGGAGGAACACCGAUGGCGAAGGCAGCCCCCCUGGGCCGAUAUUGGACGCUCAGGCACGAAAGCGUGGGGAGCAAACAGG